UGGCCUGCCGACCCCCCACCACCAUCAUUAUUUAUUAGAUCAAAAAACCCUAAUGCACUUCUAUUACAUAUUAUAUAUAACCCUUUCUUUUAUCCUUUUCUAUAACCUAAAGUCAUCUUCGUAGUGGAAAUUAACAGUGUCCUAAAAUCUGGGUUUUCCUUGUUCCAUUAUAUCUUUAUGCUUGUCACUUCUUGUAGGUUAAGUAGUGUUCUUCUGCUUGUUUUGAUUUGAAAGUUUUUUGGAUCUGAUGAUUUUAACCCUCGUCUGCUGAGCCUUAUAUAUACAUAUAUGUAUCAAAUAAGGUUGAGAGAUUCAAUCUUGUCACCAGAACUAGGGUUUCUUUUUCCUUCUUUUUGGCCAUUUUUUCUAGGUUUAGGCAAAGAAGGAGAGAUUUAUUGAUGGUUAAAGUAUAUGCAGGAGGAGGGUGAAGACAUUGAAAGGGGCAGAGAUGGUGUCAGAAUAUCUUGUGCUUAGAUUUUUUGGUUGUCUAAACUAUUUUUAGAGAGAGGGGAGUUAGGGCCUUUAAUGUACCUUUAUUUUUUUAAAGUAUAUAUGGUUUUUGCUUUUAUUCUUCAAAUAUUGUUGGUGUUUUGUGAAUUGCAAUCUAUGUUUGUGUAUGAGCUGCAAAGUUUAUUAUUGUAUUUUAAUUUUAUUAUUCUUUAAAA